GAUGAACGCUAGCUACAGGCUUGACACAUGCAAGUCGAGGGGAAACGACAUCGAAAGCUUGCUUUUGAUGGGCGUCGACCGGCGCACGGGUGAGUAACGCGUAUCCAACCUGCCCACCACUUGGGGAUAACCUUGCGAAAGUAAGACUAAUACCCGAUGAUAUCCCUAGAAGACAUCUGAAAGGGAUUAAAGAUUUAUCGGUGAUGGAUGGGGAUGCGUCUGAUUAGCUUGUUGGCGGGGUAACGGCCCACCAAGGCGACGAUCAGUAGGGGUUCUGAGAGGAAGGUCCCCCACAUUGGAACUGAGACACGGUCCAAACUCCUACGGGAGGCAGCAGUGAGGAAUAUUGGUCAAUGGGCGAGAGCCUGAACCGGCCAAGUAGCGUGCAGGACGACGGCCCUAUGGGUUGUAAACUGCUUUUAUAAGGGAAUAAAGUGGGUCUCGUGAGACUUUUUGCAUGUACCUUAUGAAUAAGGACCGGCUAAUUCCGUG
rnacentral:rRNA from 1 species